GUAGUACUCCCUCCGUCCGAGAAAGUUUGUCCCUCAAAUGAAUGUAUCUAGCACCAAGUUAGUGCUAGAUACAUCCAUAUGAGAAACAAACUUGGGACAAGUUUUUUCGACGGAGGGAGUAGUAU
rfam:Triticum urartu cultivar G1812 contig928606, whole genome shotgun sequence.